rnacentral:rRNA from 1 species
UACAACUUUCAUAAACGGAUCUAUGGCGGAUCUCUUGGAUAAAAAAUCCAUGAAAAACGCAUAACAAUGGGAAAUCGAAAAAUAAUUGGAAAAUUCAAUGAUUUAACCACACUUUGAACCCUUCGGGAUCCCAAAGGGAUUCCCGGGGGGAUGGCCGUUAAAUUGUCAACA